rnacentral:lncRNA from 1 species
UUUGUUGCUUUUUGGCACACCUGUGCAUUUUAUAAAUUUUGACACGAUUUGGUAUAUUUCGCAUUUUUUGGUAAAAUUUGAUAUGUUUUGGUACAUUUCGCGCAUUUUGAUACAUUUUAACCUGUUUUGGUGCAAUUUGAGCAUUUUAAUACAUUCGGGCGAUUAGGUACAUUUCAUUCAUUUUGCAUAACUUUGGAGCAUUUAGUACAUUUCGUGCAUUUUAAUACACAUUGGACUAUUUUGUUACAUUUCACGCAUUAAUAUUACAUAGAACAUAUAGAUCAUGUAAAAUUUCAUUUAUUUUCUUUCUUUAAUCUUGU